rnacentral:rRNA from 1 species
CCAAUAGCGUAUAUUAAAGUUGUUGCAGUUAAAAAGCUCGUAGUUGAAUUUCAGGCCUGGCUGGACGGUCCGCCCUUCGGGUGAGUACUGUCUGUGGUCGGGUCCUACCUUCUGGCGAAGCGUCAUGGCCUUAACCGGCCGUGGCGGGGAACCAGGACUUUUACUGUGAAAAAAUUAGAGUGUUCAAAGCAGGCAAUCGCUUGGAUACAUUAGCAUGGAAUAAUGGAAUAGGACAAUGGUUCUAUUUGUUGGUUUCUAGGACCGUUGUAAUGAUUAAUAGGGAUAGUUGGGGGCAUUAGUAUUCAAUUGUCAGAGGUGAAAUUCUUGGAUUUAUUGAAGACUAACUAUUGCGAAAGCAUUUGCCAAGGAUGUUUUCAUUAAUCAAGAACGAAAGUUAGGGGAUCGAAGACGAUCAGAUACCGUCGUAGUCUUAACCAUAAACUAUGCCGACUAGGAAUCGGGCGACGUUAUUUCAUGACUCGCUCGGCGCCUUAUG